CGGGUGACGAGCGGCGGACGGGUGAGUAAUGUCUGGGAAACUGCCUGAUGGAGGGGGAUAACUACUGGAAACGGUAGCUAAUACCGCAUAACGUCGCAAGACCAAAGAGGGGGACCUUCGGGCCUCUUGCCAUCAGAUGUGCCCAGAUGGGAUUAGCUAGUAGGUGGGGUAACGGCUCACCUAGGCGACAAUCCCUAGCUGGUCUGAGAGGAUGACCAGCCACACUGGAACUGAGACACGGUCCAGACUCCUACGGGAGGCAGCAGUGGGGAAUAUUGCACAAUGGGCGCAAGCCUGAUGCAGCCAUGCCGCGUGUAUGAAGAAGGCCUUCGGGUUGUAAAGUACUUUCAGCGGGGAGGAAGGCGAUAAGGUUAAUAACCUUGUCGAUUGACGUUACCCGCAGAAGAAGCACCGGCUAACUCCGUGCCAGCAGCCGCGGUAAUACGGAGGGUGCAAGCGUUAAUCGGAAUUACUGGGCGUAAAGCGCACGCAGGCGGUCUGUCAAGUCGGAUGUGAAAUCCCCGGGCUCAACCUGGGAACUGCAUUCGAAACUGGCAGGCUAGAGUCUUGUAGAGGGGGGUAGAAUUCCAGGUGUAGCGGUGAAAUGCGUAGAGAUCUGGAGGAAUACCGGUGGCGAAGGCGGCCCCCUGGACAAAGACUGACGCUCAGGUGCGAAAGCGUGGGGAGCAAACAGGAUUA
rnacentral:rRNA from 1 species